rnacentral:lncRNA from 9 species
AUGGUCUCUACUUUUGAAGAGUUUAAGUUUAGCAACAUAUGCAAAAUAAUGCUUGGUGUGACACAGACCAUAUCCUCCAAGAGUGGGAGAGCAGAUUGCUGACAGAAGUACAAAGUGGGCUGGAUUCACAAUGCUGGCAAUGUUCAUACACUGGUGUCAAGGUCCCACUGGGGAAAGAAUGGACAUGGAGACUUGAAGAUUUCCUGGGUGGAUGCUUUAAGAAGAAAGUAUUUGCCAAUUCCUGAGAUCACAUCAGAAAUACAAUUCUUGCAUUUGAAUCUGCGGAAUUCCAAACUAAGAAAUACAGUUGAUUAACAGAUAUAUAACUAAAUGAUGUGCGACCUCUAUCUGGUAGGUAUGGAUUCACCUACAAAUAAUAGAAAAAACAUACAAUUAAAAGCUUAAAUACACAAAGAAUUGUCUAGUAUAAUUACAAAUUUGAAGAUAUUCAAUCCAAGACUGGCACAGUCUCUUAAUUAUGCCAAAAGAGGAUCAGGAUCUUUCUCAGCCUCCACACAUGUGUAUGUCCUAUUGCCUCAUGUCACAAGAAAUCUGCUCUACUUCUAGGCCUUGCAUCAUUUUCUAGUCAAAAUAAAAUGAAGAACAUUGAGAGGAAAAGAUAAAAUUAGCAGGCAUUUACCCACCUUUGUCAGUGGGAAGACAACUAGCAGCAAGGAAGUUUGGAUGGUUGGAGCUUG